CGAAUGGGGGAACCCACUAUCUUUAGUCGGAUAGUAUCCUUACGUGAAUACAUAGCGUGAGGAAGGCAGAUCCAGGGAACUGAAACAUCUAAGUACCUGGAGGAAGAGAAAGAAAAAUCGAUUUCCUGAGUAGCGGCGAGCGAAACGGAAAGAGCCCAAACCAAGAAGCUUGCUUCUUGGGGUUGUAGGACACUCUAUACGGAGUUACAAAAGAAAGUUAUAAAUGAAGCGGUCUGGAAAGGCCCGCCAAAGACGGUAACAGCCCGGUAGUUGAAAUGGCUUUCCCUCCAGAGUGGAUCCUGAGUACGGCGGAACACGUGAAAUUCCGUCGGAAUCCGGGAGGACCAUCUCCCAAGGCUAAAUACUCCCUAGUGACCGAUAGUGAACCAGUACCGUGAGGGAAAGGUGAAAAGCACCCCGGAAGGGGAGUGAAACAGUUCCUGAAACCGUGUGCCUACAAGUAGUUAGAGCCCGUUAAUGGGUGAUAGCGUGCCUUUUGUAGAAUGAACCGGCGAGUUACGAUUUGUUGCAAGGUUAAGCGGAAAAAGCGGAGCCGUAGCGAAAGCGAGUCUGAAUAGGGCGCAUAAGUAACAGGUCGUAGACCCGAAACCAGGUGAUCUACCCAUGUCCAGGAUGAAGGUAAGGUAAUACUUACUGGAGGUCCGAACCCACGCACGUUGAAAAGUGCGGGGAUGAGGUGUGGGUAGCGGAGAAAUUCCAAUCGAACUUGGAGAUAGCUGGUUCUCUCCGAAAUAGCUUUAGGGCUAGCCUCGAGGUAAAGAGUCAUGGAGGUAGAGCACUGUUUGGACUAGGGGCCCUUCUCGGGUUACCGAAUUCAGAUAAACUCCGAAUGCCAUGUACUUAUACUCGGGAGUCAGACUGCGAGUGAUAAGAUCCGUAGUCGAAAGGGAAACAGCCCAGACCACCAGUUAAGGUCCCCAAAUAUAUGUUAAGUGGAAAAGGAUGUGGGGUUGCUUAGACAACCAGGAUGUUGGCUUAGAAGCAGCCACCAUUGAAAGAGUGCGUAAUAGCUCACUGGUCGAGUGACCCCGCGCCGAAAAUGUACCGGGGCUAAACAUAUUACCGAAACUGUGGAUGAACCUCUUUAGAGGUUCGUGGUAGGAGAGCGUUCUAAGGGCGGUGAAGUCAGACCGGAAGGACUGGUGGAGCGCUUAGAAGUGAGAAUGCCGGUAUGAGUAGCGAAAGAAGGGUGAGAAUCCCUUCCACCGAAUAUCUAAGGUUUCCUGAGGAAGGCUCGUCCGCUCAGGGUUAGUCGGGACCUAAGCCGAGGCCGAUAGGCGUAGGCGAUGGACAACAGGUAGAGAUUCCUGUACCAGUGCUAAUUGUUUAACCGAUGGGGUGACACAGAAGGAUAGGGAAUCGCACGAAUGGAAAUGUGCGUCCAAGCAGUGAGUGUGAG
rnacentral:rRNA from 1 species